CCUUAGAGGCACAACCAAGGUUGGAACACAUUGACGAGCACAGGGUCAUCAUAAAAUCUAGCAACAGAGGCUAAUACACAUAAUAAAUGGCGUAUUGGUAUUACAUACAACAGAUGCAUUCACAUUGCUAUCCCUCAUUAUCAACGCGAAGUCUAAAGUGCUGGUAUAACAUUUUCAAAAAGCCUCUCUGUAUUGCUAUAUUUACACCUAAUCCAUUGCUCCUCGUUGCUACAUAAUGCCCUAAGGUGCGUGUCCGCCCCAAUUUGCCUCUCUCCUCUUCCACUGAUGAACACGCUGGUUGUCUCCAGUGCUCGCCCACCACUACAAUAGCCCUGCAGGGAAGAGCACUGGGCCUGUCUCUGUGGGACCGAGUAAAGAAUUCACUCGAGACAUACACCUAAGAGUGGAAGUGCGCCCAGAUUCUUGUGGCUCCUUGCCCUCACCAAGACUUCCAUUGUCCAGCUCUGGG
rnacentral:lncRNA from 1 species